rnacentral:rRNA from 1 species
AAUUCGAUUGAGUUUGAUCCUGGCUCAGAAUCAACGCUGGCGGCGUGCCUCAGACAUGCAAGUCGAACGCGAAAGUCCCCUUCGGGGGACAAGUAGAGUGGCGCACGGGUGAGUAACACGUAGGUAAUCUACCUUCGGAUGGGGAAUAACAAUCGGAAACGAUUGCUAAUACCGCAUAAUGCAGCGGCACCUAAUGGUGACAGUUGUUAAAGCGGGGGAUCGAAAGACCUCGCGUCUGAAGAGGAGCCUGCGGCGGAUUAGCUAGUUGGUAAGGUAAUGGCUUACCAAGGCAACGAUCCGUAACCGGCCUGAGAGGGCGGUCGGUCACACUGACACUGACAUACGGGUCAGACUCCUACGGGAGGCAGCAGUCGGGAAUUUUGGGCAAUGGGCGAAAGCCUGACCCAGCAACGCCGCGUGAAGGAUGAAAUCCCUCGGGAUGUAAACUUCGCAAGAACGGGAAGAAUAAGUAGGGAACAAUACCCCCUAUGAUGACGGUACCGUUUGUAAGCUCCGGCUAACUCCGUGCCAGCAGCCGCGGUAAUACGGGGGGAGCAAGCGUUGUUCGGAUUUACUGGGCGUAAAGGGCGCGUAGGCGGCCAGCACAAGUCAGUUGUGAAAUCUCCGAGCUUAACUCGGAAAGGUCAACUGAUACUGUGCGGCUAGAGUGCGGAAGGG